UCUAAUUGAAUAAAGAAAAACAUGUAAACAAGAAAAUAAAUAAAUAUGGAUGGGCCUAUUACUCUGGUGGACAUGAUGCAUUUCAGAUAUUUACCAACAGUUUUAUAAUAAAUAGAACAUACAUCAAUUUAGGAGCCAGCUUUAAUGAAUUUGAGUGAAAUUGUGUUUUUCUUAUUUUUGCUUUAAAGAGAUGAUUCGUUAUCUAGAAAGCGAGAAGUAAAUUUAUCCUGGUUUUUACAUAUGCUGACAUCUUGGUCUCAUUACCAGAAGUUAAUGAAGGUGACUGAAGGUAAAUCCGACCCACUAGUGGAACUUAAAGCAAAAAUGAUUGGGGAAGUUGGUGAUAAAUCAUCAGCCGAUGAAAUUAAAAUGGUUCUAGUAGAUUCAAUAUUCAUGGUACUUGCAGCUAAGUCUUCACACGAUUCAACUUUUACAUGACGACAUGGUCACGGAUUGUCACCCACUGCAGUGAAUGUAAGGAGCACAUCCAUCCACGCUGAAUUUCUGAAUUUGAAACGCUACAGUCAUUCUUUUUGGUUAAGUACAGUUAUAGCCGAGUGUCUUGAAAAUGGCCCAUAUUUCUCAACUGCAACGCGUUGGAUGAAAUACUGGUUCGACACUGAAGUUUUACUAUUACUUUACGUAGCCAAAGUGGGACGAAUUUUUGUAUUAUUUGGUACUUGUUGUCACUAAACAGUAUGUUAUAUUAUGAUAGUGAGAUUUUUCUGGUGGAGACCUUUCAACCCCAGGAACUCAAAAUUCGGAGACUUGACAUAACCUGGUGAAGUGCACCCCCACCCUAGAAAUGCUAUGGACAUUUAAAUAAUUCUAAUUUUACAAAUUAAUGCCUUUAAUUGUGACAUUUUUCAACAGGUCUGCAAACUUCUAACAAUUUAAUAGCUACUAUAGGCCUACAGGUAUUCUAUAAAAUUGCGAUUUAGAUGUACCUAUGGUUAAGGAGCAAGACAGUUCAUUCUGAAUGAACAAAACAAAACAACAUAAUUUUCCUACUAAUGUUGCAUUUUAUUACCAUUAUUACAAAUGAUGUUCUUAUCUCAAUACUCCUGGUAAUGUGUAUGGUAACUUAACUCACUAGUUCCAAUUUGCAAUAAACUGUCACACUGUAAAUAAAAACCUUACGUGAAUGAUCCCUGAUUUCAGUUCUCGUAAGAAAA